GCUGUCAAUCAUUCUCCAUUUUGUAUUUAAACAGCGCGCGCCUCCGCCGGUGCAGGAUGCACGAUUAAUGCCGAGUUCAUGUGAAUCACUACAGUUCCCUUGGAGCAAAGUUCUUGGUGCAAUUGGACAAGCACUUUACAAAACUUUUGGAGGUCAUCAGGAGCAAAGGGGGAGUUGUGAAAGAGAAGACCACCAGGACCUUGCAGGUUUUAGAUGAGACUGUGGACAUCACCAUCAGAAGAGAAUGCAUCUUCAAACCUCUGAUGAUCUACCUCGGUCAACUUGUUGAGC